rnacentral:pre_miRNA from 1 species
UCUCAGAGAUGAGUAAAGAAAGUAGUUUCUUAAGAUAGAAACUACUCCUGGUGAAGAUGCCAUGAGCA